rnacentral:rRNA from 1 species
UACGUAGGGUGCAAGCGUUAAUCGGAAUUACUGGGCGUAAAGGGCGCGUAGGCGGCGCAUCAAGUCAGGCGUGAAAGCCCUGGGCUCAACCCGGGAAUUGCGCUUGAGACUGGUGUGCUUGAGUACGGGAGAGGAUAGUGGAAUUCCCAGUGUAGAGGUGAAAUUCGUAGAUAUUGGGAAGAACACCGGUGGCGAAGGCGGCUAUCUGGACCGUAACUGACGCUGAGGCGCGAAAGCGUGGGGAGCAAACAGG